GACGAACGCUGGCGGCGUGCCUAAUACAUGCAAGUCGAGCGGACCGGAUUGGGGCUUGCCUUGAUUCGGUCAGCGGCGGACGGGUGAGUAACACGUGGGCAACCUGCCCGCAAGACCGGGAUAACUCCGGGAAACCGGAGCUAAUACCGGAUAACACCGAAGACCGCAUGGUCUUCGGUUGAAAGGCGGCCUUUGGGCUGUCACUUGCGGAUGGGCCCGCGGCGCAUUAGCUAGUGGGUGAGGGAACGGCUCACCAAGGCGACGAUGCGUAGCCGGCCGGAGGGGGUGACCGGCCACACUGGGACGGAGAACCGGCCCAGACUCCUACGGGAGGAAGCAGUAGGGAAUCUUCCGCAAUAGGCGAAAGCCUGACGGAGCGACGCCGCGUGAGCGAAGAAGGCCUUCGGGUCGUAAAGCUCUGUUGUGAGGGACGAAGGAGCGCCGUUCGAAGAGGGCGGCGCGGUGACGGUACCUCACGAGAAAGCCCCGGCUAACUACGUGCCAGCAGCCGCCGUAA
rnacentral:rRNA from 1 species